GAUGAACGCUGGCGGCGUGCCUAACACAUGCAAGUCGAACGGACAGACCCUGCUCUUGCUCCUUUCACGAUUGCCGAAGGCGUGAGAAACACGCGAGUAUCCUCCCCUUGUCAUUGUGAGAUCAUCUGGGGACAGCGGAUAAUAUCGCGUAGAAGCUAUUGAUCCGCGUUGUUCAUUGGUAAGAUACGGUUUUUUCGGCUGUUGUAGAUGGAUCCGAGGCUUAUCAGCUUGUUGGUGGGGUAGCGGCUUACCAAGGCCAUGAUGGGUAGCCGACCUGAGAGGGUGACCGGCCACAUUGGGACUGAGAUACGGCCCAGACUGCUACGGGAGGCAGCAGUGGGGAAUAUUGCACAAUGGGCGGGAGCCUGAUGCAGCAGCGCCGCGUGCGGGAUGACGGCCUUCGGGUGGUAAACCGCUGUGGACUGUGACGAAGCGUGAGUGACGGUAAUGGGUAAAGAAGCACCGGCUAACUACGUG
rnacentral:rRNA from 1 species